CAUCAGCCGCGGGAAUACGUAGGGUGCAAGCGUUAAUCGGAAUUACUGGGCGUAAAGCGUGCGCAGGCGGUUUGUUAAGACAGAUGUGAAAUCCCCGGGCUCAACCUGGGAACUGCAUUUGUGACUGGCAAGCUAGAGUAUGGCAGAGGGGGGUGGAAUUCCGCGUGUAGCAGUGAAAUGCGUAGAUAUGCGGAGGAACACCGAUGGCGAAGGCAGCCCCCUGGGCCAAUACUGACGCUCAUGCACGAAAGCGUGGGGAGCAAACAGGAUUAGAUACCCCAGUAGUCCCUGUCUCUUAUAC
rnacentral:rRNA from 1 species